AUCGCCCAAAUGUACACCCCAGGCCAAAUUCCCAUCCGUUCUCAUUCAAUUUUUUAAUUUCGACUCGCGCUGCUGUGCUCCGUUGUUGCAACAGAACAGCAGAAAGUAAUAAAAGCUCGGCUCGCAUGCAAUUUUCAUUAGUGGGAAAAUUGCUUGAUAUUUAAGAGGCAACCGAGGAACAAACCGAAUCAACAGCAGCAGCAGCAGGCAGACAGACACACACAUUCCAAACUAAAUUAAUAAUAGGAAAAAAAUAAAAGUUAAAGCCAAAACAAACCAAAACCAAACGAAACACAAUCGAGGGCGCGAGCGGAGUGCCAGAAACGACGAAAAUGUGGCGGCAGUCAACGAUACUGGCCGCGUUAUUAGUGGCUCUUAUAACGGGCUGUGCAGCAGUCAAAAGCAACUCCCCACCAAGAAUCACCAAACAACCGGCACCCGGAGAACUGCUCUUCAAAGUAGCGCAACAGAAUAAGGAAAGUGACAAUCCAUUUAUUAUCGAAUGCGAAGCCGAUGCACAACCCGAACCAGAAUAUAGUUGGGUGAAGAAUGGCAAGAAGUUCGACUGGCAGGCGUACGACAACCGGAUGCUGCGACAGCCUGGCCGCGGCACCCUGGUGAUCACCAUACCCAAGGACGAGGAUCGCGGCCACUACCAGUGCUUUGCGUCCAACGAAUUCGGAACGGCGACCUCGAACUCGGUGUAUGUGCGCAAGGCGGAGCUGAAUGCCUUCAAGGACGAGAUGCCCAAGACUUUGGAGGCGGUGGAGGGCGAGCCCUUCAUGCUCAAGUGUGCCGCCCCCGAUGGCUUUCCCAGUCCGACCGUCAACUGGAUGAUCCAGGAGUCCAUCGACGGCAGCAUCAAGUCGAUCAACAACUCGCGCAUGACCCUCGAUCCCGAGGGCAAUCUCUGGUUCUCGAACGUGACCCGCGAGGAUGCCAGCUCGGACUUCUACUACGCCUGCUCGGCCACCUCCGUUUUCCGCAGCGAGUACAAGAUCGGCAACAAGGUGCUGCUCGACGUCAAGCAGAUGGGCGUGAGUGCCUCGCAGAACAAACACCAGCCCGUCCGCCAGUAUGUUUCGCGUCGCCAGUCGCUGGCGCUGCGCGGCAAGCGCAUGGAACUCUUCUGCAUCUACGGCGGCACUCCGCUGCCGCAGACCGUCUGGAGCAAGGAUGGCCAGCGGAUACAGUGGAGCGACAGGAUCACCCAGGGACACUACGGCAAGUCGCUGGUCAUCAGGCAGACGAACUUCGACGAUGCCGGCACCUACACCUGCGACGUCUCGAACGGCGUCGGCAAUGCCCAGUCCUUCUCGAUCAUCCUCAAUGUCAACUCGGUGCCGUAUUUCACCAAGGAACCCGACUUCCAGACCGCCGCCGAGGACGAGGAGGUGGUCUUCGAGUGCCGCGCCGCCGGUGUGCCCGAGCCGAAGAUCAGUUGGAUUCACAAUGGCAAGCCCAUCGAGCAGACGCCACCGAAUCCCCGGCGAACCGUCACGGACAACACGAUCCGGAUCGUUAAUCUGGUCAAGGGCGAUACGGGUAACUACGGCUGCAACGCCACCAACUCGCUGGGCUACGUCUACAAGGAUGUCUAUCUGAAUGUCCAGGCCGAGCCGCCAACCAUUGAAGUUCCCCCCUCGGACGUCUCCAGUGUGGAUGGGCGAAACAUCACGAUCAAGUGCCGCGUGAAGGGAUCCCCCAAGCCGCUGGUCAAGUGGCUGAGGGCCAGCAACUGGCUGACCGGCGGUCGCUACAAUGUUCAGGCUAACGGCGAUCUGGAGAUCCAGGACGUGACCUUCUCGGAUGCCGGCAAGUACACGUGCUAUGCGCAGAACAAGUUCGGUGAGAUCCAGGCGGACGGGUCGCUGGUGGUCAAGGAGCACACGCGCAUCACCCAGGAGCCGCAGAACUACGAGGUGGCCGCCGGACAGUCGGCCACAUUCCGCUGCAACGAGGCGCACGACGAUACGCUGGAGAUCGAGAUCGAUUGGUGGAAGGACGGGCAGUCGAUUGACUUUGAGGCGCAGCCGCGUUUCGUGAAGACCAACGACAAUUCGCUGACCAUUGCCAAGACCAUGGAGCUGGAUUCGGGCGAGUAUACGUGUGUGGCGAGGACGCGACUGGAUGAGGCAACGGCCAGGGCCAAUUUGAUUGUCCAGGAUGUGCCGAAUGCCCCAAAACUAACGGGCAUCACCUGCCAGGCGGACAAGGCGGAGAUUCAGUGGGAGCCGCAGGGCGACAACCGCUCGCCCAUUCUGCACUACACCAUUCAGUUUAAUACGAGCUUCACGCCCGCCUCGUGGGAUGCCGCGUACGAGAAGGUGCCCAAUACGGACUCCUCCUUCGUUGUCCAAAUGUCGCCGUGGGCCAACUACACGUUCCGUGUGAUCGCCUUCAACAAGAUCGGUGCCUCGCCGCCGUCGGCGCACAGCGACAGCUGCACCACCCAGCCGGAUGUGCCCUUCAAGAAUCCCGACAAUGUCGUCGGCCAGGGCACCGAGCCGAAUAAUCUGGUCAUCUCGUGGACUCCCAUGCCCGAGAUCGAGCACAAUGCGCCCAAUUUCCAUUACUACGUGAGCUGGAAACGCGACAUUCCGGCGGCGUCGUGGGAGAAUAACAACAUCUUUGACUGGCGACAGAACAACAUUGUGAUCGCCGAUCAGCCGACGUUCGUCAAGUAUCUGAUCAAGGUGGUGGCCAUCAACGACAAGGGCGAAUCGAAUGUGGCCGCCGAGGAGGUGGUCGGCUAUUCCGGCGAGGAUCGUCCCCUGGACGCGCCCACCAACUUUACGAUGCGACAGAUCACCUCGUCGACCAGCGGCUAUAUGGCCUGGACACCGGUGAGCGAGGAGUCGGUGAGGGGUCACUUCAAGGGCUACAAGAUCCAGACGUGGACGGAGAACGAGGGCGAGGAGGGUCUGCGGGAGAUCCAUGUGAAGGGCGAUACGCACAACGCCCUGGUCACCCAGUUUAAGCCCGACUCGAAGAACUUUGCCCGCAUCCUGGCCUACAACGGUCGCUUCAAUGGGCCGCCCAGUGCGGUCAUCGAUUUCGAUACACCCGAGGGUGUGCCGUCGCCGGUCCAGGGAUUGGAUGCCUAUCCACUGGGCUCCUCGGCCUUCAUGCUGCACUGGAAGAAGCCGCUGUAUCCCAAUGGCAAGCUCACCGGCUACAAGAUCUACUACGAGGAGGUCAAGGAGAGCUAUGUGGGCGAGCGGCGGGAGUACGAUCCCCAUAUCACCGAUCCCAGGGUCACGCGCAUGAAGAUGGCCGGUCUGAAGCCCAACUCCAAGUAUCGCAUCUCCAUCACGGCCACCACGAAAAUGGGCGAGGGAUCUGAGCACUACAUCGAGAAGACGACGCUGAAGGACGCCAUCAAUGUGGCCCCGGCCACGCCCUCAUUCUCCUGGGAGCAACUGCCCUCCGACAAUGGACUGGCCAAGUUCCGCAUCAACUGGCAGCCAAGUCAGGAAGGUCACCCGGGCACUCACUUCUUCACCAUGUACAGGAUCAAGGGCGAAACCCAGUGGCUGCGCAAGGACGAGGAGAAGAACUCCGACUACCAGGAGGUUAGCGGCCUGGAUCCAGACACCGCCUACGAGUUCCGCGUGGUCUCCGUCGAUGGGCACUUCAAUACGGAGAGUGCCACGCAGGAGAUCGACACGAACACCGUCGAGGGACCGAUCAUACAGCCCAACGAGACGGUGGCGAAUGCAGGUUGGUUCAUCGGCAUGAUGCUGGCCCUGGCCUUCAUCAUUAUCCUGUUCAUCAUCAUCUGCAUUAUCCGGCGCAAUCGGGGCGGCAAGUACGACGUUCACGAUCGGGAGCUGGCCAACGGCCGGCGGGAUUAUCCCGAAGAGGGCGGCUUCCACGAGUACUCGCAACCGUUGGAUAACAAGAGCGCUGGUCGCCAAUCCGUGAGUUCAGCGAACAAACCCGGCGUGGAAAGCGACACCGAUUCGAUGGCCGAAUACGGUGAUGGCGACACAGCUGUGGCCACAGCCGCUGCUCGCGUCGCUGCCGCAGCCCGCAACAAGUCGACGUCCUCCCAACAACAACAGCAGCAGCAGCAACAACAGCAAAUACCGUCGCUACCUCAGUCGCCGUCGACGUCGGCUUCAACCGUUCCAUUGCUCCAACCGCUCUCCUCGGCCUCCUCCUCACCCUCACCCACUUCCACCUCCAACCCCUCCCCCGCCCCGCCCUCCUACGAACUGUGCAUGGCGGAUGCUGAGCCCCGCAAGGCCUAAAAGAGAGUGUGGGGAAAAGAAAGAGAGAGCUCUCCAUUUCUCUCCCCAGUCCGCCGUUGUUGCUAUCCAAUCAGUCAGGCAUGAACGAAGAUGGAUCCUUUAUUGGCCAAUAUGGACGCAAAGGACUUUGAUUUAAUUAGUAAGCAGCGCGCCGCAACAGCAACUCAAAAAAUAUCGAAACCGAGCCCUUUACCCCAAAAAUCAACAAGACCAAACACCAUCACAGCAGAGAAAGAAAAACACGAAUGGAACCAUUCAAGAAAUACUACCCAGCCAUGAAAUGGGUAUCAACUAAUUUUUAUUCGAUUAAGUGCAAAGAACCACGAUUAUUUUAAAGUAUAUAUAAAAUUAGACGUUUUAUAUAUAGCUAUUAAAAUUAAAAAAUUAAAAAUAUGUAAAAAACAAACGCAAAUCAAUACUGCCAAACAACAUGAACAACACAACAGCAACAACAACAACAACAACGAGGAUGCAGCAAAAAGGCUAUUAACACAAUAAAAGUCUUCAUCGGAAGAAGUAGUAAUCGAAAAAGAAAAUGCAUGCGAAUCAAUGAUAAAGGAGAACCAUAUAUUUUUCCGGAAAUAAUCGGGCAGCAGCUGCGUGUAAUUUUUUUUGUUAAGAAAUUUAAGAAACUAUGAGGAAAAUGAAGCUCGCUUUUAAAAUCUCUAUAUUGCGCACACGUCUACCUGUCCCACUCUGUCCCCCGGCACUCUGUAUAUCUCUGUCCCGCUCUCUCCCCUCUUCUACUUGUAAUGCAUAUAUAUUUAUAAAUAUAAAGCGUAAAUAAGUUAUAAUUUAAUAAUUUUUUUAUAAAAACAACACUCGAAUGUAAAAUCUCCGUUUUAGAUUGGCCGUAAAUCGUAAAUCGAAAUGAAACCCCUUUAGCUUACAUGUUUACUACUUUAUUUAAGCCUAUUGUGUGUAUUUUGUUUUUAUUUCUUUAUUUUAUUUUUUUAGUUCGUGUAAUGACUUUGAAUUUUUUGCUUUAAUUUUGGACAGUGAAACAGCGUUUUAAAAUGUAUACACCACAGAUGUAUGUACAAGUUUCCCUGUUUGUUUUCCUUGUUUGUACCGGGAACAGCGACAAAACGAAGUCUAUUUUUUCAGUGUAUUUAAUAUUAAAGAAUGAAUGAAGAGAACAUCAUGAUUAUGAAAAUAUAAUUUUUUUUACAUAUGUUGAUGUACUUUCGCAUAUUAAAUUAGAAAGAAAAUCAAAUGAAAUAAAGAAAACCGAAUAAUAAACAA